GUGCUCACUUCAGCACUAUACUAAAAUUGGAACUAUACAAAGAUUAGCAUGGCCUCUAUGCAAGGAUGAAAUGCGAAUUUCAUGAAGCAUUCCAUAUUUUU
ensembl:snRNA U6 U6 spliceosomal RNA